rnacentral:rRNA from 1 species
GACGAACGCUGGCGGCGUGCUUAACACAUGCAAGUCGAACGGAAAGGCCCUGCUUUUGUGGGGUGCUCGAGUGGCGAACGGGUGAGUAACACGUGAGUAACCUGCCCUUGACUUUGGGAUAACUUCAGGAAACGGGGGCUAAUACCGGAUAGGAGCUUCUGCUGCAAGGGGGGGGUUGGAAAGUUUCGGCGGUUGGGGAUGGAUUCGAGGCUUGUCAAAUUGUUGGUGGGGUAGUGGUUUACCAAGGCUUUGACGGAUAGCCGGCUCGGGAGGGUGACCGGCGACAUUGGGACUGAGGGACGGCGCGAAGUGCAACGGGAGACAGAAGUGGGAAAGAUAGGACAAUGGGCAAGAGCCUGAUGCGGAGGCGCGGCGGCCGUGAAGUCGUGCUUCUGUUUAGGAACAGCUUCAGCCUGAGACAAAGCGUAAGUGACGGUACUGGGUAAAGAAGCACCGGCUAACUACGUG